CCUUAAGUGGUCCACCCAACUCGGCCUCCCAAAGUGCUGGGAUUAUAAGCGUGACCCACUGCACCCAGCCCAUCUGAGGUUUUUCUAAUGUGGAGAAUAUACCAUAGUGUUUUAAAUAACCCACCCUCUUACAUUUGACUGCACUCCCUUCUUCACCACACAGAUUGGGGGCAGGAGCUGCUUUUUCAAUGAGAAGAAUGAACAGACCUAGUAGGCAUUGCCUUCAGACCCAGAGAAAAUGGAUAAUGAUGAAGCCCACAGAUUUCACUCCAGAACUGACUUUGCUGCAGAGGAGCGAGGAGAGCUGCCUGGCAACACAACGCAUCGCUGUGCAUAAACUUUGUUUACAGCCAAGGCUGGAGUAAAGGAACAGAUGGCAAGAAAAUCGGAUUUAAAGAAAGGAAGGAUGUGCCUGCAUCUGGGAGCUCGGUAAAUCUCUUGGCUUCUGGUGUGCAUACAAGGGUGACGUCUAGCUACCCUAGCAGUCGCGUCCCAGUUUGCUGUUGAUUUUUGCCUGUUUGGAUCUGUCUCUGAGGAUGGUUAAUACAUCUUAUUACAAGCAUUUAUCUCAUCCCUCCCACAGGAAAUGUGUUUUCCCAGGGAUUUGUAUGAUCCCUAACCUUUUAUGGAGAGCAGUUUCUUGAUCACCCAUGUGAUUGUGUAUCUAAAAUUUCAAGAAUAUUUAAGCUGUUAAUCCUGCUUGUCUGUAGAAGAUGGGUUUAUAUUUCUAUGAUCUUGGAAAUAUUUACAAUGAGUGUGUAUAACAAGGAGAAAUAAGCAUAAACAUUUAUGCGUGCUACAUUCGUAA